rnacentral:lncRNA from 10 species
UGGAGCUCCGACCUCAGCUUCGCCUGCGAGCUGGGUUGUGUAAAGGCUGGUCAUUUUGGGGCGCUUAGGGGUGGGUGCCGGGGGGCGCGCUUUCCCUCGUGAAGGUCGCUCCAGGAGUCAUGCGUACAUUCGUUCAUUUUGCUCUGGACGCACUGAUGUUCCCGGCUCGCCGCCGUGCCGCAGUCACGAGGCUCUCCGAACGCCUUUCACUGUGUUUCUGUUUACAUUCGCGUCUGCAAGACCCGGCGGCGCGACCGAGGCCCGAACAGAUGGGGUCUUGCUGUGUUGCCCAGGCUGGGCUUGAACUCCUGGACUCAGACGAUCCUCCCGCCUCGGCCUCCCAAAGUGCUGGAAUUACAG